UACGUAGGGUGCAAGCGUUAUCCGGAAUUAUUGGGCGUAAAGAGCUCGUAGGCGGUUUGUCGCGUCUGCUGUGAAAACUGGAGGCUCAACCUCCAGCCUGCAGUGGGUACGGGCAAACUAGAGUGCGGUAGGGGAGAUUGGAAUUCCUGGUGUAGCGGUGGAAUGCGCAGAUAUCAGGAGGAGCACCGAUGGCGAAGGCAGAUCUCUGGGCCGUAACUGACGCUGAGGAGCGAAAGCAUGGGGAGCGAACAGG
rnacentral:rRNA from 1 species